ensembl:lncRNA
CCCAUUGUAAUUUUUGGAGAAACUCACUUGCAACGGUUUUCUCGACAUGUCGUAUAGCGCUUUUAAUUCCCGUCGUGCAGAUCUGCUUAAAGAAAAGAAAUUCACAAACACAAGUCAGUGCACUUGUUCAAAACAAAAAAUAAAAUAAAAAUAACAAACAAAACUGUCAAACAAAACUCCCAACAGAAUGGUGGUAACAGUAUUUCCUACUUAAAAUUGUGUUUGAUCCUAAUGAGCUUCAUUGCAUGUGUGUGUGUGUGUGUGUGUGUGUUAGUCGGGUUAAGACAUUUUCUAUUUCUGUGUGUGCUUUUAUGUACCUUCCCCCUUUUUCUGAAACAAAACUCCGUUCACUCCAAAUUUUGUUUCAGAAACAUCUAAAUGAAAAUCUGUCACAGUCCGGCACAGCUAAACCCCAAAUGCUUGCAGGUUACCAUCGGCAACCACGCUGUGUGUUAUUAACCCCUUCUACAAAUACCCUCUGUUGAUGUGUAACACUUUAUGUAUGAUUGUGUGCUACCUCUAGUACACAUUAUGUGCAUGUGGUGUUGUCUGUCCAUUUCCUCUAACAGUACUCUUGCAUACCUCAGUGCUUGUCUUCCUCCCCCUUUUAUGGUGGUCUGGACACUUUGUCAAUUCUCCACUUCAAGGCAGUCGUUUGUCUCCCCAGAUUCCUUAACCCAAUUUAAUUCCCCACACUAAAACAGCAUUCCUCUUCUUUCACUCUGGUCCUCUCUCUCCGUUCUUCUCUCCCACUUUGCCGUCCAAUCGCAGUCAGUUCUCUUCAGCUUUGUCCCGUGUUUACUCCCACUGUCUCUUUCAUUGCCAUCUUGCUCCAAACACAGCAAGUGUCAAACUCCAACAAUCUCCUCAAAAGUCCUUCACACAAAGUGAAGUUGCAGCUCGCUGGAAACGCAUCUCCAUUCAUCCAAUCAAGAUGAUGGAUCUUCUCUUUCUGAUGUCGUUUGCCCAUAGUGCUGCUGGACCUCUCUGCUCAGGUCUCUGGUAUUGUCUCUUGGACUGCUGUCCACUGUUGAUGUUCAUGCUCGUGCUUCUGGUAGUGCACUCUGUGUCUUCAGGGAGAGAUUAGCUUCCUUGGAGCCUGCUUUUUCAGGAUGAGGACGGGAAGCUGCAAAAACAAUUCAGCCAAAAAUUCUGGCUGGGUGUUUCUAUUUUUUAUUUCUAAUGAUCUUAACCUAUAAUUUUCUUCCGACUGCUGCCGUGGAGAAUUGAUCCAGGUCCGUUCCCCACCUGUAAUCGACAGACUGAGAGACUUUCAUUAUUCACUGUGACCGCACAUGUUUUCAUCACUCCUAAAGCAACACAUCUCCGCUUAUUUUGUUUUGAACUCUAUUAACUUUAAACCCCGAAAAUAAAAUUCCUAUUUGUUCUUAACCGCAAACACACAAAAAAAAUCUUCUUGAUGUUGUUGUUAAUUAUUUUCACCCACAAUACUCCAAAUUAUGUUUUCUUUUGUGUCCAGCAGGGGAAGAAGAUGACCUGUAGUGUCACUGCUUUCCCCAGUUGGAGACAAUUUCCCAUUCACACUUCCACACUUUUUAUUUUUCUUUGUUUUCAUUAUUUUCUUUCUCUUUUCUUUUACCCCAUUGUUUUACACCCACACAUUAACCUGUUAACUCACUCCUCCAACCUCAUUUUCCUUUCACCCCAACAGCUCUCAUACAGUCAGCAAUCAAAUUCUCCAUUCAUCCUUGAGUACUUGGUCACCUUUAAAUGUCACUGUUAAUUUUAUCAAUUUAUUUAUCAUUACCUUAACGCUAAUCCACUGUUUAGUUUUUUUUUUUUCUUUUUUUCUCUCUUUUAUUAUUUUAGUUCACUUUCUCCUAUUUGAUCACUUUGAUUUCUUAACUAUUAUUAUUUCACAGAAAAUCAACAAAUCUACUUUUUCUCCCUCUUUUGUCAUCAAGGAAUUCACACACACACACAGGCUGGUCACUCGCCCCCACCUUUCUUUCUCUCUCACUCACACACACACAUUUUACUCCUCCUUUGUUCCACCUGUGAACCCGCCCCUCGAGGCUGGCUCACACACACCUCAUGCUUCUCGCAGUCCCAUUCAAACUUUCUGCAAG